rnacentral:lncRNA from 1 species
GGGCGACCUGAAGAGUCCUUUCGGAACUCCCACCAGGAUGUAAUCCUAAGCGUCGCACCAUAAUAGUCCGCGAACGAUCAAUCCUAUGCCACGGUGAGUGGGACACGUGGUGGGUACUGGUUGGCCUAGGGAUACCUGCCACCAUAACUGUGCCAGGCCCUGCUGCUUAUUUAAGCCCCCGCCUUUCCUUCAGGGGCUUCACUUCGCCUGAGGGCCGAUGCCUUUCUUCUACCCAAGAGCUUAGCCACUCAGCCACUCCAUCGGUGCCCUUCCCAACUCCGAGCAUCCUUCGUGCCAGUCUUUGCCAUCUCCGUCGGCUCUCCACCGUCUUCAGUCCCCCGAGUCUCUCCGAGGGAUUCUCCCAUCAGGGCCUCCGCCCUAGAGGCCAACCUCAAGAGGAUGCC